rnacentral:rRNA from 1 species
AGUGAACGCUGGCGGUAGGCCUAACACAUGCAAGUCGAACGGCAGCACAGUAAGAGCUUGCUCUUACGGGUGGCGAGUGGCGGACGGGUGAGGCAUACAUCGGAAUCUACUUUUUCGUGGGGGAUAACGUAGGGAAACUUACGCUAAUACCGCAUACGACCUACGGGUGAAAGCAGGGGAUCUUCGGACCUUUCGCGAUUGAUUGAGCCGAUGUCGGAUUAGCUAGUUGGCGUGGUAAAGGCCCACCAAGGCGACGAUACGUAGCUGGUCUGAGAGGAUGAUCAGCCACACUGGAACUGAGACACGGUCCAGACUCCUACGGGAGGCAGCAGUAGGGAAUAUUGGACAAUGGGCGCAAGCCUGAUCCAGCCAUACCGCGUGAGUGAAGAAGGCCUUCGGGUUGUAAAGCCCUUUUGUUGGGAAAGAAAAGCAGCAGGUUAAUACCCCGCUGUUCUGACGGUACCCAAAGAAUAAGCACCGGCUAACUUCGUG